rnacentral:lncRNA from 1 species
CCCUUUCGGACAUGCGCGCUCGGAGCAAGGCGCCCUCGCACUCAGCUUACCGCGCAUGUACGUUGCCAGGGGUAACGCAGGUAGCCAAAGUGGCUUGUGGAGUGGCGACCGUUAGUGAGGCGGUUGCUGAGACAGACGCUGAGGCGGGUAGGAGGAGCCCGAGCCGUAAGGGAAGCCGUGAUGAGGGCCGUGUUGACGUGGAGAGAUAAAGCCGAGCACUGUAUAAAUGACAUCGCAUUUAAGCCUGAUGGAACUCAACUGAUUUUGGCUGCCGGAAGCAGAUUACUGGUUUAUGACACCUCUGAUGGCACCUUACUUCAGCCCCUCAAGGGACACAAAGACACUGUGUACUGUGUGGCAUAUGCGAAGGAUGGCACAAUGAUGCUAUACAAUGUGUCUCCUACAAUCCUAU